AAUAGAUACCCAGGUAGUCCACGCCGUAAACGAUGAGUGCUAGGUGUCGGGGGUCGAACCUCGGUGCCGGAGCUAACGCAUUAAGCACUCCGCCUGGGGAGUACGUUCGCAAGAAUGAAACUCAAAGGAAUUGACGGGGACCCGCACAAGCAGCGGAGCAUGUGGUUUAAUUCGAUGCAACGCGAAGAACCUUACCAGGGCUUGACAUCCCUCUGACCGGUGUAGAGAUACACCCUUCUCUUCGGAGACAGAGGAGACAGGUGGUGCAUGGUUGCCGUCAGCUCGUGUCGUGAGAUGUUGGGUUAAGUCCCGCAACGAGCGCAACCCUUGUCUUUAGUUGCUAACAGGUAAGGCUGAGCACUCUAGAGAGACUGCCGGUGAUAAACCGGAGGAAGGUGGGGAUGACGUCAAAUCAUCAUGCCCUUUAUGUCCUGGGCUACACACGUGCUACAAUGGUCGGUACAAUGGGCGGCGACCUAGUGAUAGGAAGCGAAUCCCACAAGCCGAUCCCGAGUUCGGAUUGCA
rnacentral:rRNA from 1 species